CCCGUGACCCCACAUCCCGCGCGCAAGGUGUCCGCGAUUUUCUCUUUUCGCGCGCGCUCGGCGAGUGGCGGGCGGGGAGGUCGCCUGCGCCGCCGACAUCGCAGCGACUCUCCGGCUGGGCUCUGCUCCACCACCCAACCACCUUUUCGACGUACUACUCCAGGAGGAUUCAACCGGCUGUUACCGGAGCCCGCGCCGUGCCCGUGCUGCGCCCGUGCGAGGACAACGCGACAAGGGAAAAGAAGGUCAUAAUCCCGAGCUUUCUGGGAACUUCGCCCGGGAUAUUUGUGUUGUUUCCAAGAAACUCCAAUAGCCAGAGAACAACCCAUGUGUAGAAAAGUAAUAUGAUACUUCCGAGCCACAGGUCACGUGAUAAUGGCUCAACGAAAAUCCAUGUGUUGUUAGUUCUACUGCUCUUGGCUGGAACAACCAUUGCCACUCCUGAUUCUGUGUACGGUAGAGUGAAGUCGACGUAAGACAUUCUGUUCUCUGAGAUUGUUAUGUCUCCAAUUGCUAUAUCGUAUUUCUGCAAGUGCAUCAAACAGA